UACGGGGGGUGCAAGCGUUGCUCGGAAUUAUUGGGCGUAAAGGGUAGGUAGGUGGUCUUAUUUGUCUGGGGUGAAAGCCUUGAGCUUAACUCAAGAAGUGCCCCAGAAACGGUAAGACUAGAGUCUUGGAGAGGGUCGUGGAAUUCCCGGUGUAGCGGUGAAAUGCGUAGAGAUCGGGAGGAACACCAGAGGCGAAGGCGGCGACCUGGACAAGUACUGACACUCAACUACGAAAGCGUGGGGAGCAAACAGG
rnacentral:rRNA from 1 species